GAGGGAUUCGAACCCUCGGUAAACAGAAGCCUACAUAGCAUU
rnacentral:tRNA from 1 species